GAUAUUUGAGGUGGUAAAUUUCGUUGCAACCACACACCCAUUGGGUCAAAAGAGAUGCUAUAGAGGCGACGGUAGCCAAAUAUC
rnacentral:ncRNA from 1 species